GAUGGAAGUUCUAAAACUCUGGAGGUUUUUGUUUCAGCAAUGGCCAUGUGGACUGCUUGAGAGAUGUCUUCAGAAGUUCUGGGAAGAAUUUGCUAAAAGCAACAUUUCAGAUGAGAACCUGAAUUCAGAGUGGUCAAAAUAUGGCCUCAACAUCACACAGCCUGAAAGAGGAGGAUCCAGGAUUUGAACACAAGUGGUCCUCAUUGGAGGUCCCACCUUUAAACAUUAUUCUUUGUCUGGAAAGAAUCUUGAGGGAACAAAACUCCUUUGUUAUAAAGCAAAUAAAAAAUAUAUAAUUAUGAA